GAACCCCUAUGUGAUAAAUUUCUAGUACCUGUAUGGUUGACUCUUCGUGGGCUGGACCAACUCAAAUAGCUUUGAAGUUGUGAGCUGUUGAGGAAGUGCAAUCCCAAGGUGUGUGUCUGUAUCUGCUCAAAGUCUAUUCCUAAGUGUUUUGAUUGCCUUCAGGAUCAGGUUCCUAGAACAGUUUGGUUCUUCCAUAUUCCUCAGCAUGUCCAUCGCAUUGUUGGACAUGGUGGAGAGCACGCUGCCUUUUGGUAGCAAGCCUUGCAUGAUAUCCACUUUUUGUUUUGAACACUAAUUAAGCAACUUUAAUAUUAAAAUGUAAUUAGUUAUGUUACAGAGAAGAAACUAGUUCAUAAUAUUCAAAAUGUUGUUUAUGAGCCUUUUAGAAGCUUGUCCAAAAGGUGAAAUGUGCCAGUUAUUUAAUAUAGCAAUGAAUUUUGGUAUUGAACAUUUCAACUGGGUUUUGUCAACAGUCUGAAGAAUUUCCAGAUAAAAUGAAGAGAAAGACAGCAGAUGUAAAAGAAUGCAAAGUCUAAUUUCUCAGACAGAUAGCAGGAGAGCUGGAGAAAUGUGAAGGAUUAAAAAUGUAUAAGAUUGAAGGUUGUGUAAGACCAAGUACCCCGCAUAAGUCUAUGAAUUACUUGAAUAUAAUUGAUUUGAUAUAAUUGAUAUUUGGCCUAAUUUGAAUUAGUAGUUGAACUCAAAAGGUUUGGCUCAUCUAAAAUGUUCAACCUGUAAUAGAACAGUAAUAUGUUGGAAACCCUAUGAUGUUGCUAAUAAUUCUGAUUUAUUUUCUAGCCCCAUCAAAGAAGAAAGCAAGGUGAGAAUACUGUCCUACAGGAGAAUCGGAAGAGAUUUUUGGGGGUUUUGAACUCUCUUAUUAAAUCCGUUUUCUGUAACAAGCAUUGUCACAUACGAGGAGAAGAUUUUGUAUUGUCUUUUCACUCUACUUACUCCUCUUGUGAGACUUUUCGCAUCACCUCAAGUUCAGAAGCAAUAGUUGUUGUUCAUAUUACACAGGAACUCACAGAAGCUUUGAAGGCCUUUUGUGAAAAGAAAGCAGGAGUUAAUGAUACUGACAAUCUGAGGCCAUUGAUGUCAGUAUCUCAAGAAGAAUUUCCAGGAAGGAAAAGCAUCCCAAACCACUAUGAGCCAUAUGGAAAAUCCAAAGGAAAUUCUAACUGGAAUCAAGUGGUUUUGUGUCAGUAUGAAGAAUGUUCUGCAGAUGCUUCUUUUGCUCCUGCUAACUCCUACAGUUACCAAGCAAAUAAUGAAUCAUCUUCCUAUGGACUAAGAUCUACUGUACUCAGGGACUCUUUUGGUCUUCAAACUGGAAGUUCUGCCAGUGGUAUCAGUGAAUGGCUGAGACGGUUCAGGCGAUCAGCUUCAGGCAGUGAUUUGGCAGUUGGUGGGGCCCCUUCCUAUGAGAGGCCUAGUGAGUGAG